CUUCCAGACUCCUACGGGAGGCAGCAGUGAGGAAUAUUGGUCAAUGGGCGGGAGCCUGAACCAGCCAAGCUGCGUGAGGGAAGAAGGUACAGCGUAUCGUAAACCUCUUUUGUCAGGGAACAAAGACUGGGACGCGUCCCCGGAUGAGUGUACCUGAAGAAAAAGCAUCGGCUAACUCCGUGCCAGCAGCCGCGGUAAUACGGAGGAUGCGAGCGUUAUCCGGAUUUAUUGGGUUUAAAGGGUGCGCAGGCGGAGGCAAAAGUCAGCGGUAAAAUCGGGGGGCUAAACCCCGCUCCGCCGUUGAAACUGUGUCCCUUGAGUGCGCGAAGGGUAGGCGGAAUGCGUGGUGUAGCGGUGAAAUGCAUAGAUAUCACGCAGAACUCCGAUCGCGAAGGCAGCCUACCGGCGCGCAACUGACGCUCAUGCACGAAAGCGUGGGUAUCGAACAGGAUUAGAUACCCGCGUAU
rnacentral:rRNA from 1 species